rnacentral:rRNA from 1 species
AACGAACGCUGGCGGCAUGCCUAACACAUGCAAGUCGAACGACACCUUCGGGUCUAGUGGCGGACGGGUAGGUAAGGCGGGGGAAGCUGUACAUAGGAACGUAAUAACUCGCGGAGGGGAGUGCUAAGACCGGCGGAUGUCUUCCGCCCAAAAAUUUCUCGAGAUUGGGUGGGACCGCGUUGGAUUAGCUAGUUGGUAGGGUAAAAGCCUACCAAGGCGACGAUCCAUAGCUGGUCUGAGAGGAUGAUCAGCCACACUGGGACUGAGACACGGCCCAGACUCCUACGCGAGGCAGCAGUGGGGAAUACUGGACAGCGGGCGGAAGGCUGAUCCAGCAAUGCCGCGUGAGUGAUGAAGGCCUUAGGGUUGUAAAGCUCUUUUACCCGGGAGGAUAAUGACAGUACCGGGAGAAUAAGCACCGGCUAACUCCGUG